AAAGCUUUAAGUUAAAUAAACUAUUAACCUUCAAAGUUAAAAAUAUAUUAAUAAUUAUAUAAGCUUUA
rnacentral:tRNA from 1 species